rnacentral:rRNA from 1 species
UACGAAGGGGGCUAGCGUUGUUCGGAAUUACUGGGCGUAAAGCGCACGUAGGCGGAUAUUUAAGUCAGGGGUGAAAUCCCAGAGCUCAACUCUGGAACUGCCUUUGAUACUGGGUAUCUCGAGUAUGGAAGAGGUGAGUGGAAUUCCGAGUGUAGAGGUGAAAUUCGUAGAUAUUCGGAGGAACACCAGUGGCGAAGGGCUG